rnacentral:rRNA from 1 species
GACGAACGCUGGCGGCGUGCUUAACACAUGCAAGUCGAACGGUGAAGCGCCUUCCUUUUUGGUGGGUGUGGAUGAGUGGCGAACGGGUGAGUAACACGUGAGUAACCUGCUCCCUUCUUCUGGAUAACCGCAUGAAAGUGUGGCUAAUACGGGAUAUUCUGGGUCUGUCGCAUGAUGGGUCUGGGAAAGAUAUUGUUUCGGUGGGGGAUGGGCUCGCGGCCUAUCAGCUUGUUGGUGGGGUGAUGGCCUACCAAGGCGGUGACGGGUAGCCGGCCUGAGAGGGUGGACGGUCACACUGGGACUGAGACACGGCCCAGACUCCUACGGGAGGCAGCAGUGGGGAAUAUUGCACAAUGGGCGCAAGCCUGAUGCAGCGACGCCGCGUGAGGGAUGGAGGCCUUCGGGUUGUGAACCUCUUUCGCCAGUGAAGCAGGCCUGCCUCGUUUGUGGGUGGGUUGACGGUAGCUGGAGAAGAAGCGCCGGCUAACUACGUG